rnacentral:rRNA from 1 species
GUGUCAGCCGCCGCGGUAAGACGGAGGUCCCUAGCGUUGUUCGGAAUUACUGGGCUUAAAGCGCGUGUAGGCGGAAGGGCAAGUACCUUGUGAAAUCCCCGGGCUCAACCCGGGAAUGGCUGGGUAUACUGCCUUUCUUGAGGCAGGUAGGGGUCACUGGAACCUUAGGUGGAGCGGUGAAAUGCGUAGAUAUCUAAGGGAACGCCUGUGGCGAAAGCGGGUGACUGGGCCUGUCCUGACGCUGAGACGCGAAAGCGUAGGGAGCAAACGGGAUUAGAAACCCGCGUAGUCC